rnacentral:misc_RNA from 1 species
GAUGAAGAACGUAGCGAAACGCGAUAAGUAAUGUGAAUUGCAGAAUUCAGUGAAUCAUCGAAUCUUUGAACGCACAUUGCGCCCGUUAGCAUUCUAGCGGGCAUGCCUGUCCGAGCGUCAUUUCAACCCUCAGGGUCCCCGUUCCGGCGGGGAACCUGGUGUUGGGGAUCGGCCCGCCCCGCGCGGCGCCGUCCCCCAAAUUCAGUGGCGGUCUCGCUGCAGCCUCCCCUGCGUAGUAGUUACAACCUCGCAUCGGAGCUCAGCGCGGCCACGCCGUAAAACCCCCGACUUUCUGAACGUUGACCUCGGAUCAGGUAGGAAUACCCGCUGAACUUAAGCAUAUCAAUAAGCGGAGGA